GCCAGUGUGGUGUAGUGUUUUGAGUGUUGGACUGUGGCGCUGGAGACCAGGGUUUGAAUCCCUGCUCAGCCA
rnacentral:tRNA from 1 species